ensembl:miRNA
GAGGUGGGAGGAUCGCUUGAGCCUGGGAGGUUGAGGCUGCAGUGAGCUGUGAUCAUACCACUGCACUCCAGCCUGGGCAACAGAGCAAGACCCUGACUCA